CCCAGCUGGUGUUGAAGAGGGCGGAGCCUGUGCUCAGAAUGACACUCCCACUAGGCGGAGUCUGAUUGCGCGUGACUGCAACCUCAGCAUCUGCUCUUUCAGCUGAGGACAAAUCAGACGCAUGCUGUUCUCCACCGUAUCCAGAAGAACACUCAGAGUCUCGCCAUCACCGACGCUUCCCGCCGACAGCAGAUCAUCAGUGGAGAUGAAGGUCUGCUGUAAAUGUCCUGUGUUUGGUCACGGUGCACUGGUGAUUUCUGAUCAUGUCGGGGGUUUUGGAUACUCAUUUCACACACACCACGGGACGCAGUUGACGCUUGCGGUGAUGAUGUCACUUCCUGAUUUGCGUAAGUGUUAUUCUGCAACACACACACACACACACACAAUAAUAUGCUCACUUUAUUCUUAGAAUCAAAAUAUCAGUGAUGGAGCAAACUGAGAACAUGAGCACAGAUAUACACUCAAUAUUCACACACUCACACACACACACAC